AUCUUCCACAAUGGACGAAAGUCUGAUGGAGCAACGCCGCGUGCAGGAUGACGGCCUUCGGGUUGUAAACUUCUUUUAUUGGGGAAGAAAAGCACGGUUUCUACUGUGUCCGACGGUACCCAAGGAAUAAGCACCGGCUAACUCCGUGCCAGCAGCCGCGGUAAUACGGAGGGUGCAAGCGUUAUCCGGAUUCACUGGGUUUAAAGGGUGUGUAGGCGGGCUGUUAAGUCAGUGGUGAAAUCUCCGGGCUCAACCCGGAAACUGCCAUUGAUACUAUCAGUCUUGAAUUUUGUUGAGGUAGGCGGAAUAUGUCAUGUAGCGGUGAAAUGCUUAGAUAUGACAUAGAACACCGAUUGCGAAGGCAGCUUACUAAGCAAAUAUUGACGCUGAGGCACGAAAGCGUGGGGAUCAAACAGG
rnacentral:rRNA from 1 species